GACGAACGCUGGCGGCGUGCUUAACACAUGCAAGUCGAACGGAAAGGCCCUGCUUUUGUGGGGUGCUCGAGUGGCGAACGGGUGAGUAACACGUGAGUAACCUGCCCUUGACUUUGGGAUAACUUCAGGAAACUGGGGCUAAUACCGGAUAGGAGCUCCUGCUCCAUUGUGGUGGUUGGAAAGUUUCGGCUGUUGGGGAUGGACUGGCGGCUUAUCAGCUUGUUGGUGGGGUAGUGGCUUACCAAGGCUUUGACGGGUAGCCGGCCUGAGAGGGUGACCGGGCACCAUGGGACUGAGGUACGGACCAGAGUGCUACGGUAGGCAGCAGUGGGGAAUCUUGCACAACGGGCGGAAGUGUGAUGCAGAGACGCCGCGUGCGGGAUGACGGCUUUCGGGUUGUGAACAGCUGUCGCCUGUGACGAAGCGGGAGUGACGGUAAUGGGUAAAGAAGCACCGGCUAACUACGUG
rnacentral:rRNA from 1 species